rnacentral:rRNA from 1 species
GUAGGCAGCUACCAUGCAGUCGAGCGGUAGAGAGAAGCUUGCUUCUCUUGAGAGCGGCGGACGGGUGAGUAAUGCCUAGGAAUCUGCCUGGUAGUGGGGGAUAACGUUCGGAAACGGACGCUAAUACCGCAUACGUCCUACGGGAGAAAGCAGGGGACCUUCGGGCCUUGCCCUAUCAGAUGAGCCUAGGUCGGAUUAACUAGUUGGUGGGGUAAUGGCUCACCAGGGCGAACAUCCCGAACUUGUCUGAGACGAUGAUCACGCACACUGGAACUGGGACACCGCCCCAAGUCCUACGGGAGGGAACAAUGGGGAAUUUUUGACAAUUGG